UGAACUUUCUUAUACUGAUAUUUAUACCCUAAUACAAUUAAUGUCUACCACAUUGACCAUAAACAUACAUUUUAAAAGGCAAUUAAAAUAAUAUUAAUACUAUUAAUAUUAUUUGCUAAAACCAUUCAGCAUGUUAUAUUUAAAUAUUUACAAUUAAAUAUAAUGUGUUAAGGGUGCUGUGUAUUAUUCAAUAAAUAUUUUGGUGUUGAAAUGACUGCCUUAUCAGUAUUUCUCAAAUUAUGCAAUUUUUGGCUUAGACACAGCAUGGUAUCAGAUAAGAGAAUAGCCAGUCCCUAUCAGUCCUCCAUCUAAGCCUAACUAAGGGGUGUUGAUAUACUUUUGAUUUGUUCAGGCACCAUCUAUUUGAGAACACAGAUAGGAAGUUAUUUUUUGAAAACAAGCAGCAUCAGCAACUGACUUUAAGCUAGAAUUAAGACUUAUUAUUCUAGUGUAAAAUGUCUUGAAAUACUUUCAGCAUGAAGUAUUGUGUGAUGAAAAAAAUGUGUAUUUACUACAAUGUGUAAAUCAACAAUAAAGGAGAUUAAAAGUGGGUGGUUAAAGACAUAUAAAGUGAUAUGGUCUAGUUCAACAACUGCCUGUAUUUUUGGAAUACUGAAGAACAGUCUGUUGUAACAGGUUAAACCCCAUGGAAAGAAUGUGCAUCAUCGCAUCGCCUGCCAAAAAAGGGAGCAAAAGAGAGACUACCUGAUGUAUGGACUUGAAUACCAGGUUUUACCCUGCACAAGCUGGCCGACAUGAGGAGAACAGGAGUGGGAAAACCGCGCCCUCUCCUUGACCAAGAAAAGCUGGAUUUGUUUAGAGGACCUGAUCAAAUGAGAUCAUGCACGAGACGCAUCGCGCAAAAGCCAUGACAGUAUAAUAGUUGCAAAGAAGUUUGACCGGCUGGUGGCAGACUUGGAGAGAAAGAUGAGAGCUGCACUCUGCUGCCUCAAAGAAAUGCUGAAAGACCUUGAUUGAUAUGCAUCUUUCUUAUGUAUAUAGCUGUUCGUGUAUAUAUAGUACAUGUUAUUAUAGUAUGCUAUUAUUUUUUGUUUAUUUAUAAUCAAAUUAUGUUUAUAUUUAUUUCAUCAAAUUGCCAUUGAUAUUUAAUUACUCAUGUAUGUUAAAAAAUGUUGGUGUACAUUAAAGUAUAAAAUUGAAUUAUCUUGUAAUUAUUAAAAUACACAAAUGUAUAUGUUUAUAGAAUUAUUGGUUUUUAUUGCAUAUCUGAAUUAAAAAAAACUUUUAACAGCAUAUAAUUGAAUCAACUGUUAAGGCAAAAGAUGCACCUUUAACGCACAUGUGUGCUUUUUGUGAGUGCGUUUUUUGCUGCCAUU